rnacentral:sRNA from 1 species
GAAGCUGGGCCAUGUUGUCCAGAGGCUGGUUGCUUUUAGUCCAAGUAAUGCCUCCCACACCUCGGAUUUCAGCCAGGCUGUGCCAGGGAGGGCAGAGGGCACCCCGGUGGCUCCCAUUCAGUCCCACAAUUUGCUUUCUCCUCCUCAAGGGUUAAGAAAAAAAACAAACCCUUCCAGUCUGAUCAGUGACUGGAGAGCUCCAAGGAAAGUCUCUCAGUGACCUGGCUGCUGGCACCAUGGACUCAGAAAAGAAACGCUUUACUGAAGAGGCCACCAAAUACUUCCGGGACAGAGUCAGCCCAGUGCAUCUGCAAAUCCUGCUGACUAACAAUGAAGCCUGGAAGAGAUUCGUGACUGCGGCUGAAUUGCCCAGGGAUGAGGCAGAUGCUCUCUAUGAAGCUCUGAAGAAGCUUAGAACAUAUGCGGCUAUUGAGGACAAAGACGUGCAGCAAAAAGACCAGCAGUUUAGGGAGUGGUUUUUGAAAGAGUUUCCCCAAGUCAAGAGGAAUAUCCAGGAGUCCAUAGAGAAGCUUCGUGCCCUUGCAAAUGGGAUUGAAGAGGUCCACAGA